ACCGCGGUAGCCCAGUUGGUAGUAGCGUCAGCAGUGAAGAUGCCGAAGGUCGCAGUUUCAAAUCCUGCCUGCGGUA